AACCUAGAACCCCAAGCGAUGGAAAAAGUAAUAUGGUCAUCUUUUGCCUCUUUUUCCAGCAUUUGGAGAACGCCAGAGGAUGCAUUCAGCUGACGACAAGGGGUUCUGUAAUGCAUUUCCUUCGUGGGUCGUGGAAUGGGACCUACGCGAGCAGCUGUGGGUAUAUGUGCAGUCCGGCCUUCCCUUUCAGCAAAUUUCAACAACUGAAAGAACAGACAGUCAUCUCUGGCAGCCAUGAUGGGUCAGAAGAGGCAGACUGCACUGGAAGAGUCCUUUGUGCGGAAACGUGGUUUGCAGUGCUUGUUAGACACAUCUGGCAUGAGAAAGGCCUCUGAUAUGCGGGCUCACUGAGAGAUCCAAAAGAUAGCUCAAGUCUCAAAGAUAGUUGGGGCAUCCUAGCCAUGUCAGCCUCAUCAGAGAAGUUAAUCAGCCCCUGACGGACAGCUACUUUGGCCUAUGCCCCCCUCCCUGCCUGGGGUUACCUCAGGCGGACGGGAGUGCCACUCAGGAAGCGCUCUUGGGAGCCAAGGCGUCAACGGCAGCCAUCAGCAGAGGGAGCCCAGCGUCCCUGGAUGCUGCCCAGCCGAGGGCCCGCAGAGCGGCCGUGAGAAGGCAGCCUGUGCUUCUGUGGAUGAAGGAGACAGAGCCAGGAGAAACUGGUUACUGAGAAGAACGGUGCGUGGAGAAUUAUUAAGAAGUGGAGGAAGUCCGACUCACGCGUUAGUCACCUUUGGCGAUGACUGGAUGCGAGCGACAGAGAAAGAGUGUGGCACGAAGGGGACCGGCAGCUCACUGCACGGCAACACGCAUCUCUUCGUCACUGCCUCACUGUAUGCAGUACAUAUGACACCCACCCAUAAGGGGUCAUUGUGGCUCUGUGCUGAGCCCUGAAAGAAUGAUGAGCUAUUUUCUUGGGGAAUGUCAAGCAAAAAAAUUUUUUACUGAUGCCCCUGAUCUGCCCACGUUACGGGGGCAUGCUUGCGCUUGCUUCAUGCCUCACCAGUAAGGGGGUUCUGAGUCCAGACCUUCUGCUCUUGUGUGGAUGGCUUCCCAGUGAGUGUUCUGGUUUCCAGCUCACACUGUAUGUUAAAAUAUAUUCGCAUACAAGGUAUCUAUGUAACAGGACCAUCGU